rnacentral:rRNA from 1 species
CCGGCGACCGGCGCACGGGUGAGUAACACGUAUGCAACCUGGCCGUCACAGGUGGAUAACCGGAAGAAAUUCCGACUAAUACAGCAUAACACUCCUGAGGGGACAUCCCUUGGGAGUCAAAGGAGGCAACUCCGGGUGACGGAUGGGCAUGCGGCGCAUUAGGUAGUUGGUAGGGUAACGGCCUACCAAGCCGACGAUGCGUAGGGGUUCUGAGAGGAAGGUCCCCCACAUUGGAACUGAGACACGGUCCAAACUCCUACGGAAGGCAGCAG